GACGAACGCUGGCGGCGUGCCUAAUACAUGCAAGUUGAGCGAUGAAGAUUGGUGCUUGCACCAAUUUGAAGAGCAGCGAACGGGUGAGUAACGCGUGGGGAAUCUGCCUUUGAGCGGGGGACAACAUUUGGAAACGAAUGCUAAUACUGCAUAACAACUUUAAACAUAAGUUUUAAGUUUGAAAGAUGCAAUUGCAUCACUCAAAGAUGAUCCCGCGUUGUAUUAGCUAGUUGGUGAGGUAAAGGCUCACCAAGGCGAUGAUACAUAGCCGACCUGAGAGGGUGAUCGGCCACAUUGGGACUGAGACACGGCCCAAACUCCUACGGGAGGCAGCAGUAGGGAAUCUUCGGCAAUGGACGAAAGUCUGACCGAGCAACGCCGCGUGAGUGAAGAAGGGUUUCGGAUCGGAAAACUCUGUUGGUAGAGAAGAACGUUGGUGAGAGUGGAAAGCUCAUCAAGUGACGGUAACUACCCAGAAAGGGACGGCUAACUACGUG
rnacentral:rRNA from 1 species